GAUGAAGAACGCAGCGAAAUGCGAUAAGUAAUGUGAAUUGCAGAGUUCAGUGAAUCAUCGAAUCUUUGAACGCACAUUGCGCCCGCUAGUAUUCUGGCGGGCAUGCCUGUCCGAGCGUCAUUUCAACCCUCAAGCCCCCGGGCUUGGUGUUGGGGAUCGGCGAGCCUCCGCGCCCGCCGUCCCCUAAAUCUAGUGGCGGUCUCGCUGUAGCUUCCUCUGCGUAGUAGCACACCUCGCACUGGGAAACAGCGCGGCCACGCCGUUAAACCCCCAACUUCUGAACGUUUGACCUCGGAUCAGGUAGGAAUACCCGCUGAACUUAAGCAUAUCAAUAAGCGGAGGA
rnacentral:misc_RNA from 1 species